rnacentral:rRNA from 1 species
GACGAACGCUGGCGGCGUGCCUAAUACAUGCAAGUAGAACGCUGAAGGAGGAGCUUGCUUUUCUGGAUGAGUUGCGAACCGGGUGAGUAACGCGUAGGUAACCUGCCUGGUAGCGGGGGAUAACUAUUGGAAACGAUAGCUAAUACCGCAUAAGAGUAGAUGUUGCAUGACAUUUGCUUAAAAGGUGCAAUUGCAUCACUACCAGAUGGACCUGCGUUGUAUUAGCUAGUUGGUGAGAUAACGGCUCACCAAGGCGACGAUACAUAGCCGACCUGAGAGGGUGAUCGGCCACACUGGGACUGAGACACGGCCCAGACUCCUACGGGAGGCAGCAGUAGGGAAUCUUCGGCAAUGGACGGAAGUCUGACCGAGCAACGCCGCGUGAGUGAAGAAGGUUUUCGGAUCGUAAAGCUCUGUUGUAAGAGAAGAACGAGUGUGAGAGUGAAAAGUUCACA